CAAUGAUAAGCCACCUAGAGAGAUGGCUCAACAGCUAAGAGCACUUGUUGCUCUUACGGAGGACCCAGGUUCUAUUCCCGGCACCUACAUGGUGACUCAUAACUGUCCUUAACUCUAGUUCCAGGGCUUCCACCACCCUCUUCUGCCCUCUGUGGGCACCAGGCACAUAUAUGGUACAUAUACAUGCAGGUAAAAUAUGCAUACAAAUAAAUCUAAAAAAUGUUGAAUUAAAAAAAAACUACAAAUGAUACAUACGAAAGCACCUUUGCUUUUUAGUCCAGAGCCAAAGUAAGUCUAAUGCUUUAGAGAAACAAAACACAAACUCAAACUGCUUUCACUUUUGCAUAACACAGAUCUUAACUUGAGGUUCCAGGACCAGCUUCAAGAUGACUAUUCAGUUGCAUACAAACCAUAUAUGUAUUUCACUGCAAAGAGGGCCCUAAAGACUUCUGCAGCCCCAGUAAAGAGUUUAGGAUCACCAAAACUUAGCGGUCAAUCUUUUAAUUCUAAAAAAGUUGUGAUACAAAUAAGCAAGCCAUUGACACAAGACAACAUACCCAUCAAAGACCACUGGGGAGCAUCAACUGCCUUCAGUCCACAGCACACAUUCGAGCAACGGCAGCUUUCCUUUCCUCAGCAAACAUAAAUGCUGUCAACAAUGCAUGAGCUGUUUGCCUUUCUCAGAACAAUACGGACCCGACCAUCCCCCGGGGGGGAAAAAGUAUAUAGAAACAUGCAUCCCAAAAGAUUACACUACUUACACAGCUAUGCCUUGUUAUGUCAAACGUUGCAACAACAACAACAACAAAAACCGAUGAAAAUUACUGUGUGCAGAAGUAUCUAAGUAACUGGGGGUGGGGGUGGGGGGGCGGAGGAGCAUCACUCAGGUUAUACUGAGAGUGCGCUGGAGAAGCAUGCAAGGGAAACACCACGACGAUGCUUAAACAUGGGUGGAGAGAAUAUCUAUCUUCAAGCAGAACAGGAGAAAGUAAGCAUGUGUAAUAAAAUUAAAGUCAGUUUAAGAAUGAGCUCCGGGUCUGGUGAACUCAGAAUGUCUUCCUGGACACUUGAUCCAUUCCUCCACCCUCUCUGCUGGCCAGGCUGUUCUGCUUGGAUGAGGGGUGCAGAGAGUGAUGGCCAAAAAAUGAGGUGGCCUUCCAAGUGUUACGACUCUCCGUCCAUAGGCCAACUCUUUGGAUGGACCCUACUAAUUACAGUAUUAUAAGGAAGGGAAGGACCAAGGCGAUGAAGGACAAGUGAGCCAUUGCAGCCACACUCCCAGAUACAAGCACCCUUUGUUCUGCAGGAUAAAUACAGCCCGUGCUAUUUCAGAUAAACCCACACAAGAGUGACUACCCCACCAGGAACCUAUCAAGCACUUAGGAAUGAGAAAAAUGGCAAGCCCUUGAGGUUUUUGUUCUCUUCCCUGUCCAGGGUCCACUGUCUUAGCAUGCAAGCCUUCAAGCCUGAACAAGGAAACUAUUCAUCCAUGGAGCCAACCAGGAGGAAGCCACUUCCUGUUCUCUCCCUGUCCUGGCCUGGCCAGGCCAGGACAUGGCUUUCCAUCCCAGGCUGGGAGGAUGGAAUUGAUAAAGGCCCAUUGUGACAGUCUCACAAACCCAGAGGCCAUCAAGGGGCUAAGAAGCCACUUAACAGCUUUUGAACAUUUGUAAAAAGAAUUAUCCUGCAGAAGAGAAUGCAGAGAGGGGCCCAAGGUCGCCACCGGGAUGCACCUCUGCCACCCAUGAUAGGGAGGCUGACAGUAAAGCCAGCAGGGGCCCAGCCUGCUUGCAACACCAUGGGCUGACCUGAGGCAGGAGGGACUCAGACACCACCAACAGGCAGCUUUACAAUUCAGGACUCCUGGACACCUGGAGUUGAAACCCAAUCUCCUGCCAAAUGCAGGAAACACAAG
ensembl:lncRNA